UGGAACUUAAUGACAAUUUAGUAAUUAAAUGGACCACAUAUAAAACCCAAAGAAAUUAAGAAGGCAUUACUCCUUCACUCUUGUUUUUGUCACCCGAAAAACACCAGGAACAACAACAACACCAUAGUGUAGGAAGCAAGAAGAUUAUAAAAGAAGCAGAGGAACAACCCCAGAUUGGAGGAGAAACUAGUUGGGACCAUUAAUAUGAAGUAUAAGAAGGAACUACCUUGAGUUGGGCAAUCAUUAAGGGUUAAAAUGUUUUGCAUGGAGGUUGGGAUGAUCAAGUCUAGGUAAAAGGCAAAGGAAUGGUUAGAGAUUAAUGCAAGGUUUGUAUGUGUCAUGGCGAAAACGAUUAAAGAUCGUGUUCUAAGUUGCUCAAGGUGUAAUUCAAGCUUUAUGGAAGCUUGAUAUUUUGGGUUGAUUGUAAAUCGUUAUUAUUAUUUUGCUUUGGAUUACUAUUAAUUGUUUUGUAAUUAUCGGUAAGUAAUAUUAAGGCUUAAGCUGCUGGUUUGAGUUUAGUUGAUUAAAUAUAGGCUAAGUGUGAUAAGCAAUCAUCUUGUUAUGGGCAGGCUAUUACAGGCUCGGA